GCGCUCUGGUCUGGAGCUCUGAGCAGCCUGGUCCCGUGGAAGGGUAUCCCUGCGCCUGGCAGGGCGUUGGAACUGGGUGAUUUUUAAGGUCCCUUCCGACCCAAGCCCUUCUGUCAUUCUGUGGGCCUGUUGAACGACGUCGCUGCGGUUAAUUCGCCUUUCCGGGCUCGGCCUGGCUGUGCCGGGCUGCGGGGAAGGGCUCCUGGGGCUGGGGCAGGGCUCCUGGGGCUGCCUCCCGCACCGGAGGGGACAGCUUUGUCACCAGCCUUCCCGCCUUUUAACGUGAUUUGAGCUGUCUUUUAUGGCGUCAUUUUUCUCAUGCAGGACCCUCCCUUCUUUGAGAUAAUCGUAAAAUCUGCAGACAUCCCUAGGGCUGGAAUCUGAAUGUCGUUGCUCCCCAGACUUUGGAUAAUACACUAGAAAUCAUGAAGCGGAUUUUAACUCUUGUUUAUUGUCUUUUCACAGAUUCACAGACUAUUCUGAGUUAGAAGGGAUCCACAAGGAUCCUCGAGUCCAGCUCUUAAGUAAAUGUCCCAUAGGGGAUUGCAUCCACCACCUUGGUGUUACCAGCUCCAUGUUCUGACCAACUGCAACUCCUGAAAUGUAACAAAUUUAACUACAAAUAUUGAUGUGUUCUUUCAAUGAACCCACACAUCACCAUGAGGGCAUCACAAUGUCCCAGCUGUAUGCUGCUCUGCUUGAGGAUUUUGAAGGCCAGAUUGCCUGGUCUGGUGGAAAUAUUUCUGGUGGAGAUACAUAGGUGCAAGCUCUGCCAUUUCACAAGCAGGAUCAAAAGUAAGAUCAGGAGACACCUGGUUCAAAUCCGUGAAGUUGAUAUGGCAUGUCGAAUUUCAGGCUGUCCUAAAAUGGACCAAGGUAAAAGUGAGCUUUGGAGAUGAAAAGAAUGAAAACAAAGACAAUCUUGAAAAAAAUUACUCUCUUGUUGCAUGUGUGUCAGGUGCCUUAAAAUAAGAGUCCUUGCUGCUGUGGCAUGAGCUCAAGCAUAGUCCUCAUGCAUCACUCCUGAGAAAUGACCACCUUGUUUGGAGAAGUAGCAGCUUAUUUUCAACUUGAAGAACCCUGCAGUGCUGACUUCUCUUCCAUAUUCCAAGAGAAAGGACAGAUAAACCCAGUGUAUGCCUCUUAGCAUCUGUCACGUUUCCAGUGUUAGAAUCCAGAUAUUUGCUGGGGAAAUUAAAAGUCCCUAAGGCUCAAUCAAGGUGUAAACAUCAUAGGAAAAUCAAUUGAAAGCUGGAUCUAAAUGCUCACCUCACCCUAUGGAGGGUGCUUGUGCCUUAAAGCUGGGUUCUGAGAGAAGCAGCAUUUCUGAAUGUGUGGAAUGUAGCACUAGAGCUGAAAGAUGCUGAGAAAAUUCAUUUAAAGGGCCGUGAUGUGGAUCGUGGCUUUAAAUGUGUUUAUUGUCACAUGACUGAGUAGAUCUUAAUGGAAAACCAUUGAAGAUCACACAUGUGAAUAAAAGAAACCUUUCAGUGCUUCAUCUGUGAAAGUGCUUUUAUAUCACUUUAUAAAGUGCCUGGAAAGUGCCCAGAAACAGCCAUCAGAGGAAACCUCAUCUCAGUGCACAUCAUCUGGAACUGAGCAGAUAAGCAAUCUUCAUGUAGCUUGCUUGGCAUUAUGAGGAUGUGGUUAUGUGCCCACACAGUGAUUUUACCAAGCCUUCAUAGUUACUGGCUUCAUCUCCAUCACAACAUCCUUACAUGUGUUGGUGGUGUCUUGACUGAACCAGGCUGGUGCACACUGGAUUGGAGAGUCAGGUAAGUGUUUAUUUAUGCUUGAAUACAGCAAAUGAGAAAAGCAGUAAGAUUCUUAAAUAUUUUUUAUCUGUACAUGAUCACAAAACUGGCAAUUUAUCCUCCCUUUUCUCUUAGUCACUAGAGACUCCGGAAUGCAGCAGAAUUUGUAAUCUGAUGCUUGCUGUGUCAUCACAUUAAAAGGAGUGGGCAAUUUAAUAAAUAAGGCUUGGUGAGACUGGGUGAGGAAAAAGUCUUUAAAUUUUUCUUCCUGUAAACAGCAGUCUGCUGAAAUGUCUCACAUGAUCAGGUUCUGCUUUUUACAAAUUAUCUUCAGAGCUGGUACUACAGUUUUGAGAUUGAUUUAUUUAUAUAACAAUUAACAUCAGCUUUUAUAUCUUGUUUGUAAACUUUUGGGAGGGUGGUGAAAGGACAAUUUUUGGUAUUUUAGUAGUUUGUUGCCAGUACAAAAGCAGUAAUAUACAAACUUGUCAGCGCCAAAAAAAUUGAGUCAAAUUAAAUUAUUCUAUGCCAAAUGAUACUUCCAUGGUUGAAAGUAUUUAAUUUACUCUGAAACAAACAUCAGGUAUCAUCUCAAUCAGGCUUUUUUCACCCUAAUUUUGCAAAGUAUGGUAUAUAUUUCAA